GAUGAACGCUGGCGGCGUGCCUAAUACAUGCAAGUCGAGCGAACGGACGAGAAGCUUGCCUCUCUGAUGUUAGCGGCGGACGGGUGAGUAACACGUGGAUAACCUACCUAUAAGACUGGGAUAACUUCGGGAAACCGGAGCUAAUACCGGAUAAUAUUUUGAACCGCAUGGUUCAAAAGUGAAAGACGGUCUUGCUGUCACUUAUAGAUGGAUCCGCGCUGCAUUAGCUAGUUGGUAAGGUAACGGCUUACCAAGGCAACGAUGCAUAGCCGACCUGAGAGGGUGAUCGGCCACACUGGAACUGAGACACGGUCCAGACUCCUACGGGAGGCAGCAGUAGGGAACCUUCCGCAAUGGGCGAAAGCCUGACGGAGCAACGCCGCGUGAGUGAUGAAGGUCUUCGGAUCGUAAAACUCUGUUAUUAGGGAAGAACAUAUGUGUAAGUAACUGUGCACAUCUUGACGAUACCUAAUCAGAAAGCCACGGCUAACUACGUG
rnacentral:rRNA from 1 species